rnacentral:rRNA from 1 species
AACGAACGCUGGCGGCAGGCCUAACACAUGCAAGUCGAGCGAAGCCUUCGGGCUUAGCGGCGGACGGGUGAGUAACGCGUGGGAACGUGCCCUUUGGUACGGAAUAGCCCCGGGAAACUGGGAGUAAUACCGUAUGUGGUCGAGAGACGAAAGAUUUAUCGCCAAAGGAUCGGCCCGCGUUGGAUUAGGUAGUUGGUGGGGUAAUGGCCACCAAGCCGACGAUCUAUAGCUGGUUUGAGAGGAUGAUCAGCCACACUGGGACUGAGACACGGCCCAGACUCCUACGGGAGGCAGCAGUGGGGAAUCUUAGACAAUGGGGGAAACCCUGAUCUAGCCAUGCCGCGUGAUCGAUGAAGGCCUUAGGGUUGUAAAGAUCUUUCAGUGGGGAAGAUAAUGACUGUACCCACAGAAGAAGCCCCGGCUAACUCCGUGCCAGCCGCCGCGGUAAUAC